UUCACGGUUACCAUGCGUGAAUCUUUUGUACAUAUUGAUGCUUGUUGUUUUGUACAUGUUGAACUUUUGUACAUGUUGAUGCUUGUUGUUUGACUUAUUUUGGAAUUGUUUCUUUUGUAUUUUUUUUCCAGUUUGAGCUGUAUAUAUGUAUUGCCCCCCCUUAGUCAAUUGUUUCUUUUGUAUUUUUUUCCAGUUUGAGGUGUAUAUAUGUAUUGCCCCCCUUACUCAAUUGUUUCUUUUGUAUUUUUUUUCCAGUUUGAGGUAUAUAUAUGUAUUGCCCCCCUUAGUCAAUUGUUUCUUUUGUAUUUUUUUCCAGUUUGAGGUGUAUAUAUGUAUUGCCCCCCUUACUCAAUUGUUUCUUUUGUAUUUUUUUUCCAGUUUGAGGUGUAUAUAUGUAUUGCCCCCCUUACUCAAUUGUUUCUUUUGUAUUUUUUUUCCAGUUUGAGGUGUAUAUAUGUAUUGCCCCCCUUAGUCAAUUGUUUCUUUUUUAUUUUUUUCCAGUUUGAGGUGUAUAUAUGUAUUGCCCCCCUUACUCAAUUGUUUCUUUUGUAUUUUUUUUCCAGUUUGAGGUGUAUAUAUGUAUUGCCCCCCCUUAGUCAAUUGUUUCUUUUGUAUUUUUUUCCAGUUUGAGGUGUAUAUAUGUAUUGCCCCCGUUACUCAAUUGUUUCUUUUGUAUUUUUUUUCCAGUUUGAGGUGUAUAUAUGUAUUGGCCCCCUUACUCAAUGCCCCCCCCCCCCAUGGGGCCUGUAAGGUACUUUGAAAUAAAUAAAAUAAGUAUGACAAGAGCCGGUGCUAGUAUUUCGCGAGCUGCCACCUUCCCGUUACGUCAGACUUGUGUUGACACGUCACUGUGAAGCCGC